rnacentral:misc_RNA from 1 species
AAAAAAAAAAAAAAAAACAAGUGGAAAACCUAUUCUCUUCUUCAUAUGAUCUCUAUGCUUAUCAACCUAAGCCUCUGUCUUUGUGACCUAAGGCUAUACUAUGUUAACAAUAGGACCUAAACACAAAAUGUCAAGAAACUAUGACAAAAAACCACAAAAGAUGGCCUAUCUGAGAUGGGCAAUGUCACAAUGCGACAACAAUUGAUAUCUAGAUCACACUUAACAGAGAACAAAAGAAAAAAAGAAAGAGAAGCAGGAAUAGGAAAAAGAAUGUCAGAAGGAAAGGGGGAAAAAAAUGCCUUUUGAAUGUGUCACAAGACACCAUUAUCUUGUGGGACUAUUGGAAUAGGUACAGAAAAUGCAGAUUCAUGCACGACAUCAAGAGUUUGGUUGUGUUUACUGUUUAAGUAUGAGGACAGGUUUUUCUUCUUUUUAUCCCCCUCUAUUCAAAUUACUUCAGGGAGGGUUUAAGGGUUCUUUUCAUGGUAAGAUUGAAGUUAAAUUUUUAUUUUUAAACAUAUUAGGUUUGUAUGGGCCUUAAAAACCCAAAUAAGAAAAGAAUCAAGCAAGUUGAUUGAUUUUGUAUCGAUUUUUCCCAAUUCACUCGAUUCAGCAAAAUAAUCAACUCAUCCAUUUUUCAUAAAAGGAUUUCAAUUUUCAGAAAGGGAUUUAACAUUUUCUACAAAAAGAUUUUGCAUUUAACUUAAAAAUUUUUGGAUUUUAUUGUCAAUGAAAAGUUGAGAUUUGUAGCGGAAGUGUUGAAUAACAUAGAUAUUCA